rnacentral:rRNA from 1 species
UACGUAGGGACCGAGCGUUGUCCGGAAUCAUUGGGCGUAAAGAGCGUGUAGGCGGCCCUUUAAGUCCUGCGUGAAAUCCUGCGGCUCAACCGCAGACGGUCGUGGGAAACUGGAGGGCUAGAGUGCGGGAGAGGAGAGUGGAAUUCCCGGUGUAGCGGUGAAAUGCGCAGAUAUCGGGAAGAACACCCGUGGCGAAGGCGGCUCUCUGGGACGGUACUGACGCUGAGACGCGAAAGCGUGGGGAGCGAACAGG